rnacentral:rRNA from 1 species
GACGAGGGGUCCAAGCGUUGUUCGGAAUCAUUGGGCGUAAAGCGGGUGUAGGCGGCUCUAUAAGUCAGAAGUGAAAGCCCCGAGCUUAACUUGGGAAGUGCUUUUGAUACUGCAGAGCUUGAAUGUGGGAGAGGGUAGUGGAAUUCCAGGUGUAGUGGUGAAAUACGUAGAUAUCUGGAGGAACACCGGUGGCGAAGGCGGCUACCUGGCCCAACAUUGACGCUGAGACCCGAAAGCAUGGGGAUCGAACAGG